rnacentral:tRNA from 1 species
UCCCUGGUUGCUAAAGGUAAAGAACCUGCCUGCAAUACAGGAGACAUGGGUUCAAAUCCCCUAGAGAA